AAAAAAGCAGGUGAGUACUGGGAGCUCGGACUCAUGGGGGGAAACAGCAGAGGUGAAGGAUGUGUCAGGUGUGUGUUUGAGACAGGUGUGUGUGAGUGUUGUUGGUGUGUGUGCCAAGAGCAGGAACACACG